rnacentral:rRNA from 1 species
CCUACGGGAGGCAGCAGUGGGGAAUAUUGCACAAUGGGGGAAACCCUGAUGCAGCGACGCCGCGUGAGUGAGGAAGGAUUUCGGUAUGUAAAGCUCUAUCAGCAGGGAAGAAAAUGACGGUACCUGACUAAGAAGCCCCGGCUAACUACGUGCCAGCAGCCGCGGUAAUACGUAGGGGGCAAGCGUUAUCCGGAUUUACUGGGUGUAAAGGGAGCGUAGACGGCUAAUCAAGUCAGAAGUGAAAACCAAGGGCUCAACCUUGGGACUGCUUUUGAAACUGGGUAGCUAGAGUGCAGGAGAGGUAGGCGGAAUGCCUAGUGUAGCGGUGAAAUGCGUAGAUAUUAGGAAGAACACCAGUGGCGAAGGCGGCCUACUGGACUGUAACUGACGUUGAGGCUCGAAAGCGUGGGGAGCAAACAGGAUUAGAUACCCUUGUAGUC